rnacentral:rRNA from 1 species
UACGGAGGAUGCAAGCGUUAUCCGGAAUGAUUGGGCGUAAAGGGUCCGCAGGUGGCAGUGUAAGUCUGCUGUCAAAGAAUGAGGCUUAACCUCAUCAAGGCAGUGGAAACUACACAGCUAGAGUACGGUCGGGGUAGAAGGAAUUCCUGGUGUAGCGGUGAAAUGCGUAGAGAUCAGGAAGAACACCGGUGGCGAAAGCGUUCUGCUAGACCUGUACUGACACUGAGGGACGAAAAGCGUGGGGGAGCAAACAGG